CUAACUCAGCUGGAGAAUGGCUGCUCAAUAAUGCAGGUUUUGGGGUUCCACAGGCAUGAGCAGGCCAUGGGUCAGGCUGGUUCUGGCAUGGCUGUGGUCGGCCCACUUCCACAGACCACCACCGCAUGCUGUCCAUCUAUCCACCGGAGAUGGCCGCAGUGGGGACCAGGACAAGAGGACAAAUGAGGCCCUGUGUGUCUGAACACUGACCACUUGUAAAUCAGCUGCUAGAUACAAUGUGCUUAUACACAACAUGCUUAUCCUCCUGCCUUGGAAAAUACGUUUUC
rnacentral:lncRNA from 1 species